CAACACUCACUAAUUUCUGUUCCUAAUUUGAUAAAUCAAAAUUCUUCCUCUUCAUAAAUAUUAGAAAAAUAAACAACAAUAGUGAUUUCCUCCUCCCUCUAUAAUUAUUUAGAAUAAAAACAGAAUCCACUUAAUCUACCUAUAAACCUUUAUAUUGAAUUUAAUCUGACAAAGAGCCAGAAUUAAAUCUGGCACGGCAUUAGAAAUGACCAUAGAUCACAAGUAGUUAUGAGUAACAAAUGGUGAUGGAUGGAAAAUCAUGAGAUAUCAUAGUCUUUAAAAUAAUAAAAUGAUAACAUAAUUAUGAAGGCUGAGGAGCAUACCAUUAUACGUACUUUCGUGAUUAGCGCAAUAAAAUAGAGGAGAAUAUUGUGCUGCUAACUUGCAUAGUUUAGUGUAUUUCUCGAAAUAAUCAGCUUCAGCAUGAAUAAAAUAGAAUAUUAUAAGAUGAAGACUAAUUAAACUUCAAGAAAAAAUUGGAUCUUUGUAGAUAUAAAAUAAUAUUUAAAUAAUAAAAAAUUUCGUAAUAUGUAUUGUCUUUUUUUUGGAAUAUAUAUAUAUAAUCCUAUUUAAAUAAUAAAAAUAGAAAA